AUCGCCUGAUACGAUGUUACACACACUCACACACUUGCGCACACACAUAAGAGGCGAGCUGAGCAGAGCCUCUUAAAGCAGCCGUGAGUUGAGCACCUCUUUUAAGCCUUUUUAAAUGAAAAACAUCUAGAAUCUCAGUAUUAAUCGGGUGCCUAUCUGUUUUAAACAGUUUAUUGAACAGUUUGAUCGCCUGAUACGAUAUUACACACACUCACACACUUGCGCACACACAUACGAGGCGAGGCGAGGCGAGCCUCUUAAAGCAGCCGUGAGUUGAGCACCUCUUUUAAGCCUUUUUAAAUAAAAAACAUCUAGAAUCUCAGUAUUAAUCGGGUGACUAUCUGUUUUGAAACAGUUUAUUGAACAGUUUGAUCGCCUGAUACGAUGUUACACACACUCACACACUUGCGCACACACAUACGAGGCGAGCUGAGCAGAGCCUCUUAAAGCAGCAGUGAGUAGAGCACCUCUUUUAAGCCUUUUUAAAUGAAAACAUCUGGAAUCUCAGUCUUGAUCGGGUGACUAUCUGUCUUAAACAGUUUAUUGAACAGUUUGAUCGCCUAAUACGAUGUUACACACACUCACACACUUGCGCACACACAUAAGAGGCGAGCUGAGCAGAGCCUCUUAAAGCAGCCGUGAGUUGAGCACCUCUUUUAAGCGUUUUUAAAUAAAAACAUCUAGAAUCUCAGUAUUGAUCUGUUUUAAAAAUAUGAAGAAGACGGGGUGUUCCGAAAAUGAAGGAAGUGAGCGAGCGCGAGCGAGAGGGAAAAAAAGUUAGUUUUCUCGUGACUUCUUUGAUAUAUGUGUACAGUUUUAGACAAGCGUUGAGGUGAGCGGACGAGAAGCUGGACCGAGCUUGUGCUGUCGUGAGUUGUGACCGAGCCUGAUCGCCGAGAAACUGAACUGCAUGUCUGUGAUAUACCAGGAGGGGCAUUGCUCAUCGUGCUAGCGGAGAUGGUGUGUUGGCACGGGUGUUCAUCUUCUACUGAAGGGAGCUGAGAUACUGUGAGUUUUUCUUCACUGUUGUUUAACCACAGUUUCUAUUCUGAAGAAACACACGGACGUUAUUUGUUGUUCUUGAAGCAAAGCAGCUUGGAUCGAGUGAUUUUGCUACUGUUGUUCGAGCCGAAAUCCUCGUGCGUCGUUUUUCAUACAAUAGUGUCGCCGUGUGGACACAAACGGCAUUGCGAACUCAUUGACGCUCUUCUUUUGACAAUAUUUUUCCUUCUAUUUUUCAGUUUAUUUUUGGACAUUUUGCACUGUUUUCACUUGGAGACUUUGAAACCCUUUUUGGAUGGACAAUUGCAUAGACUUGAGAACUGAUAACUAAGUUUGCACGAAUGAAUGGAUCCGAAUUACGCUGUUUUUGAUUUUCUUUGAAGGGACUGUCCACCAGAAUCUUUGUGAAGAUUUUAUUAUUUUUUUUUAAACAUUAUUUUUUUUCUUGAACAUUAUUUUUCCUGUCGUUGAAGAAACGGAAGGGACUUUCUGUUUUUGAACAGGUGGCUAUUUGUUUGAUUUAAUUACCCUGCCAUAUCUGGACACUCCAACACCAGACCAGUUCUACUGUGAGGUAAAACUUUAACUUUGGGGUUGUGAAUCUCACUCAGGUAUGUGAACUGCAAAUAUCUGAUAUGGAAUGAAACAUCUGUAAUGUACUUUUGAGUGAACUGAGUACCAUCUGAGCAUUCUAUCAGAACUGUUGUUGUUUUUCUGAUUUUGAGUAUUACUGUUGAAAGAGAAGAAACUGAACAAAAGUUUGAAUCUGAACAAAACUUUAUUUUUUAUAUAUUUCUUGAAAAAUCGUAAGAGAGUGAAACAAAGAAUUUAUUUCAGGACUGUUGUUUUCUUUAUUUUGUUUAAUUCUGCUAAACAUUUAAGAAAUAAGUGUAAAACUUUGAUAUCUUGGAGUAGGGGCAUUCCUACUGUCUUGUGGUCUGAAGAGGGGAAGAGGGGUUAAUCAACACUGUUAUACUCUGGGGAGCUACCGUGUAUGUUAAGUUCCAGAGCCUCAAUCCUCAUCAGUCGCUGCUACAAAAGACAAAAGCAACAUUAGCAAGGCAGACAACAACAUACUUAUAUAUAUAUAUAUAUAUAUAUAUAUAUAUAAGUACGGGAAUUAAUCGUACUAGGGGGUGAGGACCUAGAUCUUGUCAAUGCCUAGUCAUCCAAGAUAUAUUGCAGCUGAAGUUAAACUCACCCCUACAUUGUAGUGAAAUUCCUCGCUACACCUCUUUUAAGCCUUUUUAAAUAAAAACAUCUAGAAUCUCAGUAUUAAUCGGGUGACUAUCGUCACUCAAAGCCUUUGAUGGCAUCAGUCCUUCAUCAGUCUCUCUCCACCGGAUAAACACACGUGAUCAUCUGUCCCUGUAACAUCAGACAAGAUUCAAGUUUCCUCUGAGAUUGAUGUGCUCAACACUACAUUCACAUGAUGAUGAUGAUGAUGUGUUAACUCUCUUUUUAUCAACACAAAUGUUCCUUCAUUUAUUAACAGUACUAACGGACAAAUAAAACAGAUAACUUAUGUCUAGUUACUGUAGAUUUGUUUACUUUAUUUUCAUUCAUAUAUAAUGUAAUCAGUGUUGAAUUCUUCAUAAUAUCACACACACACACACACACACACACACACACACACAUCACUCAGAUUCAUGUUGUGACGAGAUCAUCAUCUGCAAUACUUACUGAAUAUUGUCCUGUCAGAUGUUAAAUAAACAUUUAGUAAAUGCUUAAAAAGAUCAAAUAAUAAAUCAAAGUUUCAAAACAGCUGCUCAAAUGAAAUUUCAUUUCCUCAUUCGGGAAAGCAUGAACUGUAUCAAUAAUCAAAUUAAAACUCAUUUGUAUUUGUAUAUAUUUUUAAUUUUCAUUAUCAAUCCAGUAUAAACCUUUGAACUUUUAUACUUGAAAUUUGAACUGGAGAGAGCAGGACUUGGAGGAAAAAAAAUGAUGUUCUCUGGUGAGUAUGCAUCAGUUCAGUUACACAACUGAUACAUGUAACAGUCAAGUAGACUCUCAUAUAGGGAUGUGUAAAAGGAUUUUGAGUUUGCUGUGGAUUUAGAACCAGAGACAAAUGUCUUGUGUAAGGGUUCUGUAGUUUGCUGAUUUUUGUUAAUUGUAUUUCAGCCACAACAAAAUGCUCAGCUUUUUCAUGCUAUGCCAAUAUGGUGCUGGUUUUAAAUUCAUCAAAAAAUGAAAUUUUAGAGGUCGAUACAUCGGUGCAUCUGUAGUUACAUGCAAACAUUCUGUUUGAUUAUGUAAAGUAAUGUUCUGCAUGUUAAUGUGUAUUUUCUUUGCAUUUUUUCCUCAUCAGACAAAUACUGUUGUUCUUCGGAGUUCAAUCAGGAACUCGUACGCCAGUUCCCUAAGCGGGGUGAGGGUGGUGGCUUUGAGCUGUUAAAAAUGAGAGGCUGCACCAGGACAAAAAUUCCCAACACCCUACAUUAUGAGAGCAGCAGCCGAGCAGGAGCAGCAACAGCAUUCCCAUUCUUCAGAGCAGAGAGCAGCAACAGCAUUCCCAUUCUUCAGAGCAGAGAGCAGCAACAGCAUUCCCAUUCUCCAGAGCAGAGCAGGAGCAGCAACAGCAUUCCCAUUCUCCAGAGCAGAGAGCAGGAGCAUCAUUUUUAUCAUAUGUGAUCCUGGAGCACAAAACCAGUCAUAAGUCGCACGGGUAUAUUUGUAGCAAUAGCCAACAAUACAUUGUAUAGGUCAAAAUGAUCUAUUUUUCUUUUAUGCCAAAAAUCAUUAGGAUAUUAAGUAAAGAUCAUGUUCCAUGAAGAUAUUUUGUAAAUUUCCUACCAUAAAUAUAUCAAAAAUGUAUUUUUGUAUGCAUUGUUAAGGGCUUCAUUUGGACAACUUUAAAGGUGGUUUUCUCACAUUUUAGAUUUUUUUGCACCCUCAGAUUCCAGAUUUUCAAACAGUUGUAUCUCGGUCAAAUAUUGUCCUGUCCUAACAAACCAUCAGUGGAAAGCUUUAGUCAGCUUUCAUGACAGGUUUUGUGGUUCAGGGCCACAUAUGUCUUCAAAUGCAACUGGGCAAGCUCAUGUCAAAGCAGACAGGAAUAGUAAAGAAAAUGUUCUCAUUGUAUAUUCACCCUUUUUCUGCAGAAUGUGUUAUCUUCGCUCUGUGAGUUCAUGCAGUACCAGUGAAUGGUGACCUAAAACUCUUCAAAAUACAGCGCAUAAAACUGCAGUGCAUUAAUUUAUGAAUUCAGAAAUGAUCAAAUCUGUGAUCCAAAUACGAGGCCAGCAGUCAUAAUUCUGGAUAUACAGUGGUGCUUGAAGCUCUGACAUCUAUCUAUCUAUCUAUCUAUCUAUCUAUCUAUCUGUCUAUCUGUCUAUCUGUCUGUCUGUCUGUCUGUCUGUCUGUCUGUAUGUGUCUGUCUGUCUGACAUCUAUAUCUAUCUAUCUAUCUAUCUAUCUAUCUAUCUAUCUAUCUAUCUAUCUAUCUGUCUAUCUAUCUAUGUUGAACACUGACAACAUGAUUAAUAUUCAUGAAGCUAGCAGCUCAUCAGUCAUUUGUGUGGUUCAUAUUGGUGUUAGUAGUAGAAUUCAUAGUGUUAUUGUCUUUUAAGUCUGGUGAGUAGACAAAAAAAUGACUAGCCAAUAAUGAUUCUACUGCCAAGGUGAUUUGUGUGUCUGUAACUUAUAUUUUCAGAUUGGAAAAUUGAGAGUGAUGAACAGCAAGCAGCAUACCAGUUUUGAAGAAACUUAUUACAUGGAGCUGAAGACCGGACACCCCUUCAGGUCACAACAGAUCUAACCAGCAGUGUGCAAGACAGACAUAGACAGUUUCUGUCAUUCUACGAGUCAAACCCAACUGACUGGGCAUCCCCACUAUCAAUCAACCUUAAAGCUUGAAGAGCCAAGGGAUCUGACAGACGUGGAACGAUAGAGAGUGAACGAUCUUGCUUUUAGCUGGGCCAACAUUAACUAGAGAAAACCGGAAGUGGCUUGCAGAAACCGUUCUUCAGCAUGAGGUAUUCAGUAUUGUGAUGUAUUUCUGUGUGAAACGGACUGUUGAACGAGAAAGCUUGUUUGCAGUCGCACGAUUCUGAUGAAAUCUGAAAUUCAGAUGAGUGCAGGAAGUGAAAAGCAGAACGGACGAGAUGAAGUAAAGUUCGUACUGCAGGAUCAUUUCAUGUCAAAUCAAUCAAAUUUCAGAAACUUCCCUAGCUCAAACUUAGUGCUGGGCGGCAUGGGCGUCACUAGGCCCUUUUUAGGGAGGCUUCAGCCCCCCUAAAAAACUUGUGAUUGCCUCUGUAAUCUGUAACCUAAUUUGUGAUCGCUUCUGACCCCUUUAAAACAAAUGAAAGGGUGGCAGGCUUCGGCUUUGCCCUCGCCCUGCCUCAGUCUGUGUUAAUUCCUUUUCAAACUGUUCUGAAGCAUACUUGUUAUGCUAUUGUUAUUGUUAUUGACAGACGCUGCUAUAAGUCAAAUGGCCAUAAUUUAAGUGAUCACAAAAAUAAGAGUUCAGCCAUAUUACACAGCCUGCUGCUGAUAACUGCAUAAGGGGCCGUUCACAUAUCGCGUCUUUUGCUCGUGCAAAUUCCUUAUUUCAAAUGUAGGAGCACAUCAAGCGCACUCAUAAUAGGAGCGACGCGCAUACGGUGCGCUCGUUUUUUUCCAGGCGUGCCUAUGCCGUGACGAGAUGAAAACAUCUCAACUUUUCAGAAUGCCGCAAGCGCACCGCAGGUCAUGUGACAAGAACCAACCAAUCAGCUUCAGCCUUUCUGUAACAACACCGAAAGCUCAGCCGAGCAGCUGAUCAUAGCUGUACAGGGCGGGUUUUAUUUCUCAUCUCCAUAAAUAUAUCUAGUGUUAAAGCUAAUGCAAUGGCUAGAAAUCAAUGAAUCAAUUAAUCCUUUGCUGAUACUCCCUCAUCACGGUGGAGAGAGCAAUUCAUGGUUGCAUAGCAACGACAGACGCCGCGGGAGUGCAAGCGCUUGUAGAAAGGAGGAGAAAGCGGCGCGGCUGCGCUUUACACACGUUUUUAGACGUGAUAUGUGAACGGCCCCUAAGAGUGCACUGGCCACUGAUGAUGUCGUGGAGGCUAUGCUAGACACACAGUUAAUGAGGAAAGUUAACAUCCACACUUUAGCCAUAAGUUUCGUCUGAAUUGUACAUGCUACUACUAUUUUUCUGUGAAAAUGACUUGUUGCACUUAUGGUAAGCAUGGUCAACAUCAACUCUAAUAGGCUACAAUGUAAUUAUGCUUUGGAAAAGCUGUUUUCCCCGUGGUCAGCUGAAGCUGUGUGUGAACAAGGCUGCAGAAUGUGAGUUGCUCCGUCUCACACAGCCUCAGAGGAGAGAAAUUCUCUAGUAUCGUACAGAAAUGGAGUUGAUAACGCCGGAGAUUAUCUAUACAGCGCAGGCUAGUAUAAUUUAGCCGCUGGGCUCCUUACCAGGUGUUUGCAAUUAAACAGAGAAUCACCUGUGUUUUGAGCUGUGGUGUCUGGUCCGCACGGAUCCCUAUACUACACAUCGCAAUUUCGAUGCUAUAAAUGAACUAUCGUGCAGCCCUAAUUCAAAUGUACAUGAUCAUAAAAUAUGAGAAUUACCCGUAUGAAGUCCAUUGACUUCAAUGGAUUUAAUUAAAUUCAUUUGAAACUUAUAACUCAUGACUGCUCAAAAGAGUCCAAAUUUAUGAAAUAAAACACCUUAAUCAAAUCAGUUUAUAAAGCUAACAAUUUUUAUUUAAAAUGUAAUCAAAAGAAAAUGUAUUAAUAAGUGUUUUUACUGUGUGCAAUUUCUGUAACUUCAAUGGGCAUUAACAAAUAGCUCAAAUACCCUAGGGGGAUAACAUAAGCCACAAAAAUGUGUAAAGUUUAUAAAUAUGUCCGUUCUUAAAAUCUGGUGUCUGAUUCUUUAGGUUAUCGGUCGCAGAGAGAAGCAGAUGAAGCAAAUCAAACGAGGUCUGAAGGAUACUGGGGUCCUGCUCAUGAUGAAAGAACGGCCUUCUCUCAUCACAAUGGUUUAGAAAGAGUUAUAUGGCCAAUGAUGAGGAUGAAGAUGAAGAUGAGGAUGAUCACGAGGUUCCUCUGGAGUUGAAACGCCAGAUGGCGUCGUACCUCAGGAAGUACAUCGAAAAUGGUAAUGAUCUUUUUACCACUAGAGCCCGACCGAUAUGGGUUUUCAGGGGCUGAUACCGAUAUUAGGAAGUAAAAAAAAAGUUUGACAUCAACAUAUCGCCGAUAUUCUUUGUGUAUAUUAUAGGGGUGCGAUGGUUCAAAUUACCCAUGGUUCGAUUUUUAUCAUGGUUUCUAUGGUUUUGGUACGGUUUGGUAUGUGCUAUGUUCAGGCAAAAUAGGACAACUGUCAAAUAAAAAUAAAGAAAAUAAGAACAAAUAAUCAAACUACAAGCAACAGCAGGUAUUUCAGGGCUCUCGUUUAUAAAACUUUCCGUAGAUUUCAUCCUAAAAAUGUACACGAAUGUAUGCACAAUCUGAUAUAAAAUAAAAGGUGCACAACCUUAUUAUAAAUGCAUCAUCAGAUUUGAGAUGAACCGGUGCAAGUGCGUGCCGAACAUGUUUAUAUCGGUGACAUAUCUGCAACAUAAACGCAGAUGCAGAUUUAUCUGCGACAGGCUCAUAUUGGCCGAUAAAAUCGGCAGACCGUUAAAUCGGUCCGGCUCUAGUUACCCCACAUUAAUUUCAGAUGUCAGCUGGCUCAUUUCACAGCUUUGUAAAUUGUGCAGCCACUGUUUUUACAGCUACAGCACUGGGUAUGGAGCAGGGUCGGGCAAUCCUCCCACAACAUCUCUAUGUGGAGGUGUCUGACUCCAUUAAAGUGAGAAAAUAAAGCUGCCUUCUCACGACACUCACUACAUGGACUUUCAGGCAGACUUAAAGCAGCAGUGUCCACAAGAGAACGUGGAUUUGGAUUAGUUUAAUCAUAUGGUGUGUUCCUGGGCUUUUUAAAUGAAGAGGCCAGUCCUCAACUGUUAGCCAGUGUGCUUUUGAUAGGACUGUUUAUUGAGAGAGAAAAAAUGUUAUUCAAAUGAAACUAAAUACUAGAUUUUAUAACUUCAUGUUCAUUUUUUCAUUUGUAGCAAGUUAAAUAAUGUGUAACUUAAAGUUGAAAUUUGAUGUAAAAAGUUAAAUGAGUAGUACUUUAAUAUUUGUACAAAUUUGUUCGUUUAAUCAAAUGUAAUGAACAGCCAGUGCAUCAGGAAAACAUGUAUUUGUUCAUCAAUAAACAAUCUGGAUUCAAGGA